CAGUAGCCGCGGGAACACAGAGGGUGCGAGCGUUAAUCGGAUUUACUGGGCGUAAAGCGUGCGUAGGCGGCUUUUUAAGUCGGAUGUGAAAUCCCUGAGCUUAACUUAGGAAUUGCAUUCGAUACUGGGAAGCUAGAGUAUGGGAGAGGAUGGUAGAAUUCCAGGUGUAGCGGUGUAAUGCGUAGAGAUCUGGAGGAAUACCGAUGGCGAAGGCAGCCAUCUGGCCUAAUACUAACGCUGAGGUACGAAAGCAUGGGGAGCAAACAGGAUUAGAGACCCCUGUAGUCCCUGUCUCUUAUAC
rnacentral:rRNA from 1 species